rnacentral:rRNA from 1 species
UUGUCCUACGGGGGGCAGCAGUGGGGGAUAUUGGACAAUGGGGGAAACCCUGAUCCAGCGACGCCGCGUGAGUGAAGAAGUAUUUCGGUAUGUAAAGCUCUGUCAGCAGGGAAGAAAAUGACAGUACCUGACCAAGAAGCCCCGGCUAACUACGUGCCAGCAGCCGCGGUAAUACGUAGGGGGCAAGCGUUAUCCGGAUUCACUGGGCGUAAAGGGAGCGCAGGCGGCACGGCAAGUCUGAUGUGAAAACCCGGGGCUCAACCCCGGGACUGCAUUGGAAACUGCCGGGCUGGAGUGUCGGAGGG